ACAGCAGUAGCCGCGGGAAUACGUAGGUGGCAAGCGUUGUCCGGAAUUAUUGGGCGUAAAGGGCUCGCAGGCGGUUUCUUAAGUCUGAUGUGAAAGCCCCCGGCUCAACCGGGGAGGGUCAUUGGAAACUGGGAAACUUGAGUGCAGAAGAGGAGAGUGGAAUUCCACGUGUAGCGGUGAAAUGCGUAGAGAUGUGGAGGAACACCAGUGGCGAAGGCGACUCUCUGGUCUGUAACUGACGCUGAGGAGCGAAAGCGUGGGGAGCGAACAGGAUUAGAUACCCCAGUAGUCCCUGUCUCUUAUAC
rnacentral:rRNA from 1 species